UACGAAGGGGGCUAGCGUUGCUCGGAAUCACUGGGCGUAAAGCGCACGUAGGCGGAUUCUUAAGUCGGUGGUGAAAUCCUGGAGCUCAACUCCAGAACUGCCUUCGAUACUGAGAGUCUUGAGUUCGGGAGAGGUGAGUGGAACUGCGAGUGUAGAGGUGAAAUUCGUAGAUAUUCGCAAGAACACCAGUGGCGAAGGCGGCUCACUGGCCCGAUACUGACGCUGGAGGUGCGAAAGCGUGGGGAGCAAACAGG
rnacentral:rRNA from 1 species